UCACUAUUUUUACUCAUGCAAUUUCCACUCUCAAUUUUUGCGAAAAUGCAAGACCUUUACAAACAAAAAAAUCCUUUGCCAUAAAAUGUACGAGCUAUUCUCAUUCACUCCAUGGAAAUUAAGUUAGCUUACAAUUUUCAUUUCCGGUUCGUAUUUCCGAGCAAGUCUGCAGAUUUUAUUUCAUUUUCAAAUUAACUGUGCAAAACGUGAAGGCAAAUUCGUAUUUCAUAAAAUGCUUCAGUUCGCAUGCUUUUAUUAAAUUUAAAGAUCAUUAAUUUCAAAAAAUUUCUAUAUAUUUUAUUGUUUACUAUCCCAUAACGUUAAAUAGUUUACACAAAAACGUCGAAACUUUUCACAUAAACGUAUGCUUCUUUGUUUCAAUUGUUCAUGAAAACAUAAUGUAUUUAUUUACUUCUUUAAUUACAAUUGAGAGGGGAAUCGAGACAGAGAAAACAAUAGUUUCUGAAAGAAAUAAACUAAUUAAAAAUUUGACCGAUUGGUUUUACUAAAUUUUUUUAACUGCAUGGAUAUUUUACCAAAGAUUCAAAGAUAUAUUUAUUGGUUUUGUUAUUUUUUUGAGAAUUUUAUGAAAGACUUCACCUUCCAACUUUUUCAAUUAAAUGUCAAGGAAAAAUACUGUACUUAAAACUCUUGAAAGUUUUCCCAAUAUUUAAGAAAAUGGAACUUCAAUUGUUUUUUUAAAUUUUUGCAAUCCCUUUUUGUUUUAAUAUUUUUAUUACCAGUUUCUGUAUAUAUUUAUUUAUUUCAUUUGACUAUUUAGACAAUUUAUAUAUUGAUAGAAGGAGAAAUCUCAGAAGGAUUAUUGAAGACUUAAUUUUAUUCUUUUUAUUAAUGUCAGCAUG